GCGGAUAUGGCGGAAUUGGCAGACGCGAUAGAUUUAGGUUCUAUUGUCGAUAGGCGUGCAGGUUCAAGUCCUGUUAUCCGCA
rnacentral:tRNA from 4 species